rnacentral:rRNA from 1 species
AGAGCGAACGCUGGCGGCAGGCCUAACACAUGCAAGUCGAGCGCCCCGCAAGGGGAGCGGCAGACGGGAGAGUAACACGUGGGAACGUACCCUUCAGUUCGGAACAACCCAGGGAAACUUGGGCUAAUACCGGAUACGUCCGUAAGGAGAAAGAUUUAUCGCUGAAGGAUCGGCCCGCGUCUGAUUAGCUAGUUGGUGGGGUAAUGGCCCACCAAGGCGACGAUCAGUAGCUGGUCUGAGAGGAUGAUCAGCCUCAUUGGGACUGAGACACGGCCCAAACUCCUACGGGAGGCAGCAGUGGGGAAUAUUGGACAAUGGGCGCAAGCCUGAUCCAGCCAUGCCGCGUGGAUGAUGAAGGCCUUAGGGUUGUAAACCGCUUUUCAGUUCCGACGAAGCGCAAGUGACGGUAGGAACAGAAGAAGGACCGGCAACACGUGCCAGCAGCCGC